rnacentral:rRNA from 1 species
AUUGAACGCUGGCGGCAGGCCUAACACAUGCAAGUCGAGCGAGCGGCGGACGGGUGCGUAAUGUCUGGGACACUGCCUGAUGGGGGGGGAUAACUACUGGAAACGGUAGCUAAUACCGCAUACCAUCAGAUGUGCCCAGAUGGGAUUAGCUAGUAGGUGGGGUAACGGGUCACCUAGGCGACGAUCCCUAGCUGGUCUGAGAGGAUGACCAGCCACACUGGAGGGGAGACACGGUCCAGACUCCUACGGGAGGCAGCAGUGGGGAAGAUUGCACAAUGGGGGCAAGCCUUGUGCAACCAGGCAGCGUGUGUGACGAAGGCCUUCGGGGUGUAAAGCACUGUCAGCGGGGAGGCGUUACCCGCAGAAGAAGCACCGGCUAACUCCGUGCCAGCAGCCGCGGUAAUUC